rnacentral:rRNA from 1 species
GAGCGGAAAGGCCCUUCGGGGUACUCGAGCGGCGAACGGGUGAGUAACACGUGAGCAACCUGCCCUUAGCUCUGGGAUAGCUCCGGGAAACCGGAAUUAAUACCGGAUAUUACGUCAACUGACAUCGGCUGACGUGGAAAGAUUUAUCGGCUGAGGAUGGACUCGCGGCCUAUCAGCUAGUUGGUGGGGUAACGGCCUACCAAGGCGACGACGGGUAGCCGGCCUGAGAGGGCGACCGGCCACACUGGGACUGAGACACGGCCCAGACUCCUACGGGAGGCAGCAGUGGGGAAUCUUGCGCAAUGGGCGAAAGCCUGACGCAGCGACGCCGCGUGGGGGAUGAAGGCCUUACGGGUUGUAAACCCCUUUCAGCAGGGACGAAGCGAAAGUGACGGUACCUGCAGAAGAAGCGCCGGCUAACUACGUGCCAGCAGCCGCGGUAAU